rfam:Triticum aestivum genome assembly, contig: Triticum_aestivum_CS42_TGACv1_scaffold_179604_2DS
GUUGUACCCCUUCUGUCAGGAAUUACUGGUCGCGGAAAUGAAUAGAAAUGGAUGUAUCUAGAACUAAAACACGUUUAGAUACAUCCAUUUCUACAACAAGUAAUUUCGGACGGAGGGAGUACAAG